AGCGAACGCUGGCGGCAGGCCUAACACAUGCAAGUCGAACGAACCUUUCGGGGUUAGUGGCGGACGGGUGAGUAACACGUGGGAACGUGCCUUUAGGUUCGGAAUAACUCAGGGAAACUUGUGCUAAUACCGAAUGUGCCCUUCGGGGGAAAGAUUUAUCGCCUUUAGAGCGGCCCGCGUCUGAUUAGCUAGUUGGUUGAGGUAAUGGCUCACCAAGGCGACGAUCAGUAGCUGGUCUGAGAGGAUGAUCAGCCACAUUGGGACUGAGACACGGCCCAAACUCCUACGGGAGGCAGCAGUGGGGAAUCUUGCGCAAUGGGCGAAAGCCUGACGCAGCCAUGCCGCGUGAAUGAUGAAGGUCUUAGGAUUGUAAAAUUCUUUCACUGGGGACGAUAAUGACGGUACCCGGAGAAGAAGCCCCGGCUAACUUCGUG
rnacentral:rRNA from 1 species